UACGUAGGUGGCAAGCGUUGUCCGGAUUUAUUGGGUUUAAAGGGUGCGUAGGCGGCCGCUUAAGUCAGUUGUGAAAUAUCCCGGCUCAACCGGGAGGGUGCGAUUGAUACUGGGCGGCUCGAGUAACAGCGAGGUUGGCGGAAUUCGACGGUGUAGCGGUGAAAUGCAUAGAUAUCGUCAAGAACACCGAUAGCGAAGGCAGCCAACUAGGGGUUAACUGACGCUGAGGCACGGAAAGUGCGGGAUCAAACAGG
rnacentral:rRNA from 1 species